UCCCUGGUAGUCCAGUGGUUAAGACUCUGUACUUUCAAUGCAGGGAGCAUAGGAUGGAUCCCUGGUUGGGGAA
rnacentral:tRNA from 1 species